rnacentral:rRNA from 1 species
UACGUAGGGUGCAAGCGUUGUUCGGAAUUAUUGGGCGUAAAGAGCUCGUAGGCGGUCUGUCGCGUCUGCUGUGAAAACUCAGGGCUUAACCCUGAGCUUGCAGUGGGUACGGGCAGACUAGAGUGCGGUAGGGGAGACUGGAAUUCCUGGUGUAGCGGUGAAAUGCGCAGAUAUCAGGAGGAACACCGAUGGCGAAGGCAGGUCUCUGGGCCACUACUGACGCUGAGAAGCGAAAGCAUGGGGAGCGAACAGG